rnacentral:rRNA from 1 species
GACGAACGCUGGCGGCGUGCUUAACACAUGCAAGUCGAACGGAAAGGCCCUGCUUUUGUGGCUUGCUCGAGUGGCGCACGGGUGAGUAACACGUGUGUAAACUGCCCUUGACUUUGGGAUAACUUCAGGAAACUGGGGAUCAUACCGGGUAGAAGCUCCUGCUGCACAGGGGGCGUUGGAAAGAUUCGGCGGUUGGGGAUGGACUCGCGGCUUAUCAGCUUGUUGGUGGGGUAGUGGCUUACCACGGCUUUGACGGAUAGCCGGCCUGGGAGGUGGACCGGCGACAUGGGGACUGAGGGACGGCGCAGAAUGCUACGGGAGGCAGCAGUGGGGAAUAUGACACAAUGAGCCGGAGCCUGAGACAGCAACGCCGCGUGCGGGAUGACGUCCUUCGGGGUGAAAACCGAUGUCGCCUGUGACGAAGCGUUAUUGACGGUAAUGGGUAAAGAAGCAACGGCUAACUACGUG